GGGCGUGCGCGUCUCUUCGCUCGCUCGCUCGCUCUCUUCUUGUUUCGCUCGCUCGCUCGUCGACAUCGCUCUUCUUUCCCUCCUUCCAUCGCUAAGAGCACUGGAUCGGGCGCGCAAAGGGGACGCUGGGGGCGGAGGAGAGGACGGCGGCCGCUACGAGCACUGGAUCGGGCGCGCAGAGGGGGCGCUGGGGACGGAGGAGAGGACGGCGGUGGUGGCGGCGGCCUCUUCGAGUGGAGGCACGGGUGUUCGGAGCUUAGACCGCCCUAGGCCCUGCUCCUCCCCACCUACUCUGCCCCCUCCUCCUCCUCUCACACCCCCGCAGACCCCUCCUCGUUCCCCACUCUUCUACUCUCCCUCUCUCUCUUCUCCUCCCUGCACUUCACCUCUUCUCCCCCCACACCGUCCCGGCCUGGUGGCAGGAGAAGGUGAGGUAGUUGUCCGAAAGAGUUGUCGUCCGGCGUGGUGGCGAGCUUUCGGCGGCCAGGAGAAGGUGAGGUAGUUGUUCAAUCAGCCAGUCGGCGGAGGGUUUAUUAUCGUGUGCUAGACCUAUGAAGGAACCCAGUUAAGGGGACAAAAAUGGCAGUAUAAGUAGUCGUUAAAGUCGCCGUCCCUCACGAACGGCAUCACCUUUACUUCGUUCUUAACCUACCUCGAGUCCUAAAACGAUGAUGGAACGAUUAUCGAAACACUCCAUUAAACCGAUGGAUAAACACACAAAGAAAAGACGACAUGGCUACAGAUAAAAUUAAAUCUUUUAUCUUUGUACUUUACACUAAAUUCGUAGAGUUAUCGUCUACAACAAUCGUACUUGUAUUACACAUGACAUGGAUGACUGUUUAUCGUCAGAUUAAGAAGGUUUCGUCACCGACAGCUACCUCUGGACCAAAAUGAAGUGCUUUGGUAAACGACUUAAAAAAAUUCAACCAACGUGUGGUACAGCCGUCCUCCCUCCCUCCGUCCUUCUCUCUCUGUACCUCUCCCUCUCCCUCUCUCUCUCUCUCUCUCUCUCUCAAGUGUGUGGUUUAGGUUAAAAAAGACAUUAAUAAUACCCGUACAGCUAAAGACAAUACUUGUACCGUUACAUUAAACUAUUCCAAUUAAAACAAGGGAUUACACCACAACUAGUGAAACACGAAGAAAAGCAUAACCACACUUUUUAAUAAAGAACCCACUACAGCUGUAUCGGUAAACACGAGAACAGCUGGCGAGGUGGGUGAUAGUAGUUCUACUCAAGUACCACGCCCGAAACCCCAAAACUCCCGCACUUUACCGUACCUUCUGUCUACCGUCAAUGGACGUAGGAGCUCAUUACGAACGAUUUCCACACGAUAUAAAGUAAAGGAGUUUGAGUUUAGAGGAGUAAAAUAAAGGGUACAAGAAAAGUCUAAAUUACACGGAGAACCACCAUCGUCUAACGACUUUACUCCCACGUGUUAUGAUACAAGCUGUACGAAAAAAAUUUCAAGACAUGAGACAAUUACCGAGUUUUUCAAGUUUAUACCUCUGUAUAUUUUAAUAUAUACAACAAAUAGUACUUUACUCCCCCCACCGCCCGAUGGCACAUGUAUUUUUAUGACAUGAGACUCUAAAACAAUCAAACAUGUCCGACGUUCAAACGUAAGUUUGACAAGACAUAUUUCGGUUAAAAGUAAGAAAAGGGUCACUUACCACGUACGAGAAGAACUCUAUUUCCGUUAAUCUUCGAUCCGUAUAAAAUUAAAUUAUAAACCGGUUCGUAGGGGUGGGGGUUCUCUAACAAAUUGUGUAUAUCAAGACCAAUUUUACUUAACCAAUAAUGAGCAUUAUGACCUAUAAGAGAUGGGUCAUAGCUCGUAGAGUCUAUAGGAAGCAGAAAUGUCAAAACCGAAUUAGUAAGUGUCCUGAGACGACGCCACGUUAUUUAACGGAUCUACGGCCGGACAAAAUUUUGAAAUUAAAAUAGAAAACGAAACAAAGAACAUUAAGAGGUCCCUCAUCCGGUUUUGCGACCUCAAGCACUAUAACGACGUUGAUUGUUCGGUAUAUACGAGACCUAGUCCAAAGUCUUUCUUGACAAUGAAACAACAAGGAAGUUAUAUGUAAAAUAUUUCUAAUGGAAUCUUGACAGACUUGUCAAACCAUGUAUUGUAUAUAAGUAUUAAUAGAGUCCGACACACCAUCAACAAACUGUGCGCGUAGGUGCAAGCAAAAGCACUGGACCUUCGUUCCGGCGCGCGCAAGUUCGAUGAAUUUUUUUAUUACAUGUCACCCACUAAUAUAUCUAAGACAACAGUACAAGGAAACAAAUUUUAGACCCUUGGACCUAGGUAAGUCCGGAUAGAACCACUUCGCGGCGUGCUCAAUUCGUCUCCGUUGAAACUCCUAAAGUGGACUGUCUGAUUUCCAAAAGUAUACCCCUAUAACGACGUACACAUUCAUAGAGCGCACGCCAGUUGAAUUUUACACAAACGCACACACGGCCGGACCGGACAUGUUACAUAGUACCCUACUACUAGACCGACAGUCGUUCACCUAUGGUACGACGAGACUCCUUGGUCCGCGAGAUUCUACCUGUUACGUACUCGAACGCUACCCUCCGAAAAGGAGUGUCUAGCAGCGUGGACGUCAUGAGUACUACCUACAGGCCCUGCACUAGCGUUCCGUGUUCGGUUCACAGUCGUACCUCCUGGACCUCGUCAUGUUUUCCAAGUUACUCCUCAAACCGUUCGUCCCGACCAGUACUUCUAUGUGUUUCUCUCAUGAGGUAACCAUGACUUCUUUAUGACGUGCUUAUACCAACCAACAACAAGGAACCUUCAUCCUAAGCGGCGCAGGUUUGAGCUCUCUGAAAGACAUAGAACUCACCGAAAGUGGUAACCCGUUAAGUUCGCUACCUUCUACGAUGUUGACAGCUAUGAUUUAAAGCUUCUAUAUAAGUCCUUUGAUUUGUUCAACUACUCCUUUGACAACAACGUCGACAACUUCUACGUUUAUUACAAGACACACUGGUUGGAUUUGCGUUUUCCAUAUCUGAGUAUGAGACGAUGUAAAUUGGGCAAAGUAUAUUCUACACACAGUCACAUACACGAUGACUUGAACCACGGUGUUGAUAACAAACAUGUAGCCUUUCUUACGAAGAAGAGAAAGUGAUUACGUACGAUAAACUGGUCAGAAAAAAAAAAUAGUGACUACACACGUUCAACUAAUUGAUAGAUUAUUUUGCUUGAAGAUGAAAGUCCCAGGUCAUCUACAAGACAAACGGCAGGUAAUUAAGAGACCAAACAAACGACAAUGUACAUGUUCGUUACGAAUGACGAAGAGUCACUAGUAUGUUCUAUUUAUCGGAAAAGACAAAAAGUGACUAUGUGUGUUCGAUUAAUUGGUAGCUUAUUUUACUCUACACAAAAGUCUAAGCAAUCCAGAAGACAAACAAAUGCAAUAGGCGAUAAACAACAACGUUUGGGAAUACAGGAACAAGAAAAAUAAGGUAGCAUACGUAGAUCCAACAAACGUAACUUUUAGUUUCAUGAGUGUACUGACAAUGAAAACGAUUACUUACGUAGAAACCUGAUUAUGACCACGGUUCCCGCGGUCGAGACGUUUCUUUCGUUCCGCCAUCGAAAAGCCCAUAAAAACACACAAGGUGAACGAAGAGUUCGAGCCAGACGGUGAUCCUCCAACACAACAACUUCCCUCGAAGAAGUGACAUAGCGUAGCGUCGUCACCAGACCGGUAGCCCAGAGUUCUAACAUGGAACCGUGUGAAAACCCGUACGUGGACUACAUAAAACACGUACAAACGUUUCGUUCUGAAACUGUGAGCUUCUUGAUACAGUUCGGUGACAGUUAUGUUAGGGGAAUAAAUUCAGGAACUUGUUCACCUGAGAAUACGCUACAUUUAUAGUAGCAACCGGGUCGCCCGGAACUGAGAUGAACCAUAAGUAGCGACGCAUGGAAUGAGUGCGUUGGAUUUACUGGUUUCGAAAGAUAUGCUACCUGGAGACGGCUACAUCCAACGGAGUAUUUUCGUUACAUUUAUUCGAUAGUACUUGACUAGAGUAUGAAAAGGAUAUUGCGAUACAUAGUUGAAGUA
rnacentral:rRNA from 1 species